GGGGAAAAGGGCGUUUUCUCGGCACCGAGCUGCUCGCCGGGGGUGGCCGAGAUCGCCUGGCCCCCGCUCCCCAAGGUCACGAAUGCAAAUGUAGCCUGCCGGCGGUGAAUGGGCUGAAUUGUGAUUAAGAAGAAGAAGAGCUCCUUUCUUUGUUCUCCCCUCAGGGGAUGUUUACUGGGAGAGACACAGCGGAUCAGAUAUGAAAGGCAUUCAGGUCAGCAUUGAUGUGAGCGAAAGUGAAAUCAUACCUAAGGCAUUCAAAAGACCGCCGUGUCAGGGGUUCAGCUAACGGUGCAUCUACUGUGUGUGUCUUCCCUGUUAGGCACAAAAAAA